AUAACCUGGGAAUCUUGUUAAAACGCAGAUUUUGGUUCAGGAGGCCUGGGACAGAGCCUGAGAUUCUGUAUUUCUGCCAAGCUCCCAAGUGAUGCUGU
rnacentral:pre_miRNA from 1 species